ensembl:lncRNA
GUGCAGCAGGCACAGCGGAGACAUGCUGAUCAAAGGGGUGGAGUCCUUGCAGGCCCAGUCACAUAAAAGUGACAGCGAUGUCAUGCUAAUGGCAUUAAGGCUUUGCAGGUAGAGGCUAACUCAGGACAAAGGGUUGUGUAAAUCUCCCGCUGAGGCCGGACUCUUGGGUCAAGGCCCGCUGUCCCAACACCAGCGAAACACCUGAACGGAUUCACUUUUGCCCUCCCAAAUGUUCACUGAUUUUAGAGGGUUCGUGGGUGGCAAGAGUUUACUUCCUAGAUUGUAGGACUACUUUCUCCAGUCAUCGGGAGCUUGGUCCGAUCACAUGUCAGUUCCCGCUCUACAAACACGGAUACAAAGCGCAUCUCCUGUGCCGGUAAAUCCCUGCAGCGCCUGAGACCUUUAAGCCUUUUAAUAGUGCACAGCCUCAUCCCUUAAGUAAUGCUAAAGCAUUGUUUGGCAACUGAACAGUGCAAGUUGGGGAAAUGUGGGUCAGACAGACUUUAAGACGUUGCAAAUGUGAUUCACUUCUAAAAGCGCCGGUUUGUGAGUAAGUGUGGAUGAAAACGUGAGGACGCCAGAAGAAGCACUCUGCGGCACAAUUCUUUUAGUAACAAAUUUUUUAUUACAACAUUUCACGUUUUUUUUCCAUUUCUAGUGAUGUUUUGUGGCAGGGUAACAUGGCUGCUGGAACGACUGAGGAUGCCGAUCUACCGUUGAAAGCACACAAAUGGAAUCAAUUGCAGGUAUAUUUUGCGUUUCCUCAUCAGAGACAAUUCAGACAGAUUGCAUCACAAGAGCCACCAUGAAUUGCUUCGACAAAAGGGCGUCAAAAUCAAACGGUAAAUGAGGUCCAUUUGAGCGGCUCCGGGAUCUGGGUGGAAUCCGUUGUAUUUUUAUCCUCGUGAUAUAUAUAAAAAAAAAAAAAAAAAAAAGACAAGUGUCCCUCGUCCACAGACUGUGCAGCUUGGUUAUUGUUGUCGUGUCAUACUUUCGGUUACAAAGUUAUACAUCUAGAAGAAGUGGCUGAAAACAAGGCAAUGCGGGGGAGGAGGGGUG